AAAGUAAUACUAUAUAACGUAAUACAUUAUAACAUAAUAUAAUAUAACGUAAUGCAAUUUUACGUAAUACGAUAUAACGUAAUACAAUAUGAAUGAGAUGUAGAACGUGAAAGGUGCCUAAUGAAUACUCGGCGCUUUGUUCAACAGUUUAUUUAUUUGCUUUACUAGCAACUUCAUAACUCUCGACUCGCGACUCCUACUGACGACUGCCUACUUACAACUGUUCUUUUGAUCCACUUGCUUUCCUUUGUCAUCUUUCGAUAUCCCCACUAUGCUCGUUUUUAUAUCCGUCCGCGAUCAUGGUAACAUACGCCUUCUGCCCAGUAUUUGUACGAAGGGCAAAACGUAAUAUAAUAUAACGUAAUAUAAAAUAUCGUAAUACAAUAUACCGUAAUACAUUAUAACGUAACACAAUGUAACGUAAUAUUAUAUAACGUAAUACAUUAUAACGUAGUACUAUAUAACGUAAUACAUUAUAACGUAAUACAAUGUAACGUAAUAUUAUAUAACGUAAUACAUUAUAACAUAAUAAUAACGUAAUAACGCGGAAUUAAUUUCUUUAUGAGAAAUUUAAAAAAUUAUAUUUUUCGGUCUAUAAGGCGAAUUCUUGAAUUAUUCAGGAAUUAAAUUGAAGCUGAAAUUCUCAGAAAUUAUCUAUGUAGAAUUACACGAAAUUAGUGCAGUGCUCUACUUUGUAUACAGUGGUGCAGUCUACCAGUGAAUCGAUGAUGUUUUGGGUGAAUCAAGAAAUAUCGAGGCCUCUUUUACUAACUCUUUUAAAGAUAAUUUUGUAACUGAAGAAUUACACAACUUUUCUGCACGUUGAUUAUGUAAAUUAAGCGAAGAAGCAAUGUGUUCGGAUGGCUUUACUAUAGCAGUAGAUUU